GACGAACGCUGGCGGCGUGCCUAAUACAUGCAAGUCGAACGAGAGCAACCGGUGCUUGCACUGGUCAAUCUAGUGGCGAACGGGUGAGUAACACGUGGGUAACCUGCCCAUCAGAGGGGGAUAACAUCCGGAAACGGGUGCUAAAACCGCAUAGGUCUUCGAACCGCAUGGUUUGAAGAGGAAAAGAGGCGCAAGCUUCUGCUGAUGGAUGGACCCGCGGUGCAUUAGCUAGUUGGUGAGGUAACGGCUCACCAAGGCCGUGAUGCAUAGCCGACCUGAGAGGGUGAUCGGCCACAUUGGGACUGAGACACGGCCCAAACUCCUACGGGAGGCAGCAGUAGGGAAUCUUCCGCAAUGGACGCAAGUCUGACGGAGCAACGCCGCGUGAGUGAAGAAGGUUUUCGGAUCGUAAAACUCUGUUGUUAGAGAAGAACAAGUGCUAGAGUAACUGUUAGCGCCUUGACGGUAUCUAACCAGAAAGCCACGGCUAACUACGUG
rnacentral:rRNA from 1 species